rnacentral:rRNA from 1 species
UACGUAGGGUGCAAGCGUUGUCCGGAAUUAUUGGGCGUAAAGAGCUUGUAGGCGGUUUGUCGCGUCUGCUGUGAAAUUUCGGGGCUCAACCCCGAACUUGCAGUGGGUACGGGCAGACUAGAGUGUGGUAGGGGAGACUGGAAUUCCUGGUGUAGCGGUGAAAUGCGCAGAUAUCAGGAGGAACACCGAUGGCGAAGGCAGGUCUCUGGGCCAUAACUGACGCUGAGGAGCGAAAAGCAUGGGGAGCGAACAGG